AUGGCCACCACCACUCUCCCACGCUCUCACAUCCGCCUGCAUCUCCCGCUCCACACCGCCAACCCUUCCUACCCUCGCUGCUGCCGCCUCCUUCCCUCCUCCGCCAUCUCAUCGCGUCUCCAGAACCCCGCCACAACCACUGCCACCCACUAUCCCAUCCUCCCGCCCGCUCCAUCCCCUUCCCUCCUCGUCGCCGAGGAGGCCUCCCUCGCCCCGCGCCGCACCCACCGGUUCCCGGGCUCUGUCGCGCCCCCGUGCAUCCAGGACUCCCGGGAGGACCUCGACGUCCCGGCCGACGAUGACGUCCUGCGGCGUGCGCUCGAGGUGCGCCGCGCUGUGGCCACCGAGGCGCUCGUGGCCGCGCUCAGCGGCGGCAAGGCCGGGGGCCUCACCUACGUCAACAACCUCACUUCACGGAUGGGCGCCUUCGUCGACCGCAUCGUCGUCGGAGCCGCCGCCAUGCGGCGCGACCGCCCCGAGCUCGCGCACCAGUCCUUCAACGCGCGGGCACGGACCUACAUCCAGGAAUCGGGCGUGGUCGAGCUGGUCAAGUGGUUCAAGCACAACUCAUUGACAUAUCCCCAAAUCGCGAAAGUAGUUUGCUCCUGUUCUGGUGAUCUGGAGAAAGUGAGAAGGAUGCUAAAGUGGUUGAGAUCAAUUUAUGUGAAAGGAGUAUUUUUGGGACGUGUGCUUGCGAAGGGUGAAUCCCUUAUGAGUCGCAGUUUUGAAGAAUUGGAAGAGAUUACUGGCUAUCUGGAAUGCUGUGGUGUUAGAAGAGACUGGAUUGGUCACGUGGUCAGUAGAUGUCCACAGCUAUUGAAUUUGUCCUUGGAUGAGUUAGAGACACGAGUGCGAUUUUAUACAGAUAUGGGAAUGAAUGAGAAUGACUUUGGCACUAUGGUCUAUGAUUAUCCAAAAGUUCUUGGGUUUUUCAGCCUAGAAGAGAUGAACAGUAAGGUUCAAUAUCUGAAAGAGUUUGGUUUGAGCACAGAAGAACUUGGAAAAAUGCUGGCUUAUAAGCCACAGCUCAUGGCCUGCAGCAUUGAAGAAAGGUGGAAGCCACUUGUGAAGUACCUAUAUCAUCUAAACAUUUCACGGGAUGGUAUGAAGCGUAUGUUGGUGGUCCAACCUACGAUUUUCUGUCUUGAUUUAGAGACAGUAAUUGCACCAAAGGUACGAUUUCUACAGGAUAUUGGUGUGAGGAAUGAUGCAGUCGGCAAUGUGCUAGUGAAGUUCCCCCCUGUACUAACUUAUAGUCUGUACAGGAAGUUACGCCCAGUGGUUAUAUUCCUGAGGACAAAAGCUGGAGUAACAGAGGAUGACAUUGGGAAGGUCAUUGCGUUGGACCCGCAGCUCAUGGGCUGCAGCAUCGCACACAAACUGGAAGCCAGCGUCAAGUACUUUCGGUCACUGGGCAUCUACCACUUGGUGCUCGGCCAGAUGGUUGCCGACUUCCCGACGCUUCUCCGAUACAAUGUGGAUGUUCUACGUCCAAAAUACCAGUACCUCAGGCGUGUCAUGGUACGGCCGCUGAAAGAUCUUAUCGAGUUUCCCCGGUUUUUCAGUUACUCUUUGGAGCAUAGGAUAGAGCCUCGGCACAAGGUUCUGGUGGCCAACAGGAUAAACAUGAAGCUGCGGUACAUGCUGCCUGGUUCCGAUGAGGAGUUUGCGCAGAGGGUGCAAGAGGCCGUCGAGAGGAGAGCGAGAUUCGAAGCCGGAGAAGCUACUCCGGAGACAUCAGGUGCGCCCGAAACACCCAGCGGCAAUGGAAAUGGCGUAGCAGCAGCAGCAGCAUGUCAAGAGAUGGAGGCAGAUUAA
rnacentral:rRNA from 1 species